ensembl:lncRNA
AUAGCCUCCUACCCUACUAGAACCCUCCUACAGCCCACCCACAGAACCCUAUAGCCACAUAACCACCUAUAAACUUGCUAUAGCUCUCCCACUGCCUCCUAUAGCCUCCCCAUAGAACCAUAUAGCUCCCCCAAUACCACCCUACAGCGACAUAUUAUUCCCCUGUUCCCUAAAGCCCCAUAGAACCCCAUAUCCCCCCUACAGCCCUAACACCCUCCCUACAGUCCCCCAGCCUUUAAAGCCCCAUCACCCCUUACAGCUACCCACAGCCCUACACUGGCCCUAGACCCUCUCCAGAGACCCCCACACUCUCCCAUAUCCAACCUCAUAUCCCCCCAGAACCCUUCUAGACUCCAUAUCUCCUCUAUAUCCCCCAACAGCCCCCCACAGACACCCUAUAUCCUCCCUCAGGCCCCCACAAUCUCCUACAACACAACAUCCUUCCCUAGAGCCCCCCCCAAUCCCUAGCACCCUCAACGCUCCCACAUGUUACCACAAACCCCUAGAGCCACAUAUCCCCCUCGAACACACCUAUAGCCCUUACAGCCCCCUCAUAGAACCAUGGAGCUCCUCCCAAAGCCCCCUACACACCCAUAUCACCCCUAUACCACAACAGACCCCUAGAGAAACAAAUCUCCCUACAUCUCCCAUAUAGCCCUAAAAAUCACCCUAAAGACGUCACAGCACUUUAGAGCCCCAUAUCCACCAAUAGCUCCCACAGAUCCCUAGAUCCCAACCAUAGCCCCCUCUUUCCACAUAUACCCCAAUACCCCUACUACAGUCCACCACAGCUUUCCAGAGCCCCAUAGCCCCCCUAGAGACACAAUUAACCUCCUUAAAGCCCCACACACCCAUAGAGCCACCCCUAGAUCCAGCCAGAUAGCCCCCCCUCAUAUCCUCCUACAACUUCCACACAGCCCUAUAUCCCUCUGCAGCCCCCCUAUAGCCCCCAAUAAUCUUACAUCCCUCCCGAUAGCUCCCACAGACCACUACAGCCCCAUAUCCCCCAGUAUCCACCCCUAUAACCCACUAUAGCCCCCUGUCGCCCCAAAGCACUACCCUAUACCCCAUACAGUCCCCUUUCUCCCUAGAGGAUCCCCAUGGCCCCUCACACCCUCCCUGUAUUCCCAACACAGCCCCCUACAGCCCCAUCUCCUCCUACAACCCACGCACAGCCCUACAUCCCUCUAUAGCACCCCCUGUGGCCCCACAUCCCUCCAUCCCCCUCUAUUCCCAAAACCCACCGAUAUCCCCAUAUCCCUCGAGAUCCCCACACAGCACCCUACAGCCCCAUAUCCUCCCACAUCCCCCAAAUAGCCCCCAAAGCCCCUCAGCUCCCACAUCCCCACCACAUCUCCGCCACUGCCCCUCCACCCACAGACCACCUCAGCCUUGGGGGGCACCGCGAGCAGAGCUGGAGGCUCGGAGUUCCAGGCCCUAAUGGGGGCAGCAGCGCUACAGCGGUGGGGGCCCCGACUCCUUCAGCCGCCCCAAAUCCCCGCAUCCCAAGGCGAAGGGGACGGCCACGGGCUGCCGUCUGAGGGGACAGCUGGGCGAUUCCAAGCCGGUUGCCAACGGCGCGCUCUGCCCCUCAGCCAAUUGGAGCCGG